UCUUCGGAUUGUAAAGCACUUUAAGUUGGGAGGAAGGGCAGUUUCCUAAUACGAAAUUGUUUUGACGUUACCGACAGAAGUUAACGCACCGGCUAACUACUCGUGC
rnacentral:rRNA from 1 species